UACGUAGGUGGCAAGCGUUAUCCGGAAUUAUUGGGCAUAAAGCGCGCGUAGGCGGUUUUUUAAGUCUGAUGUGAAAGCCCACGGCUCAACCGUGGAGGGUCAUUGGAAACUGAAAAACUUGAGUGCAGAAGAGGAAAGUGGAAUUCCAUGUGUAGCGGUGAAAUGCGCAGAGAUAUGGAGGAACACCAGUGGCGAAGGCGACUUUCUGGUCUGUAACUGACGCUGAUGUGCGAAAGCGUGGGGAUCAAACAGGAUUAGAUACCCUGGCAGUCCACGCCGUAAACGAUGAGUGCUAAGUGUUAGGGGGUUUCCGCCCCUUAGUGCUGCAGCUAACGCAUUAAGCACUCCGCCUGGGGAGUACGGCCGCAAGGCUUAAACUCAAAGGAAUUGACGGGGACCCGCACAAGCGGUGGAGCAUGUGGUUUAAUUCGAAGCAACGCGAAGAACCUUACCAAAUCUUGACAUCCUUUGACCGCUCUAGAGAUAGAGUUUUCCCCUUCGGGGGACAAAGUGACAGGUGGUGCAUGGUUGUCGUCAGCUCGUGUCGUGAGAUGUUGGGUUAAGUCCCGCAACGAGCGCAACCCUUAAGCUUAGUUGCCAUCAUUUAGUUAGGCACUCUAAGUUGACUGCCGGUGACAAACCGGAGGAAGGUGGGGAUGACGUCAAAUCAUCAUGCCCCUUAUGAUUUGGGCUACACACGUGCUACAAUGGACAAUACAAAGGGCAGCGAAACCGCGAGGUCAAGCAAAUCCCAUAAAGUUGUUCUCAGUUCGGAUUGUAGUCUGCAACUCGACUACAUGAAGCUGGAAUCGCUAGUAAUCGUAGAUCAGCAUGCUACGGUGAAUACGUUCCCGGGUCU
rnacentral:rRNA from 1 species